UGGGGGAGUCAUACGCUUUAAACUUGCAAGAAAAUCGGUUUCGAUGUCACAGCUCACCCCUAAAUUAACUGAGCCGUCUGAUGACUAUGAGGGGUCAAAGUCUGCCCUUGUAGACAGAUACGCGGCCAACAGUU
rfam:Daphnia magna strain Xinb3 scaffold00872, whole genome shotgun sequence.